rnacentral:tRNA from 1 species
GGAUGUAUAGCUCAGCUGGUUAGAGCGUUGCAUUCACAUUGCAAAGGUCACUGGUUCGAGCCCAGUUACAUCCA